GAGGGUAUAGAUCAGUGGUAGAGCACAUGCUUAGCAUGCAUGAGGUCCUGGGUUCAAUCCCCAGUACCUCCA
rnacentral:tRNA from 1 species